rnacentral:rRNA from 1 species
UACGUAGGCAGCAAGCGUUGUUCGGAGUUACUGGGCGUAAAGGGUGUGUAGGCGGUUCUUUAAGUUUGGUGUGAAAUCUCCCGGCUUAACCGGGAGGGUGCGCCGAAUACUGAGGGACUCGAGUGCGGGAGAGGAAAGUGGAAUUCCUGGUGUAGCGGUGAAAUGCGUAGAUAUCAGGAGGAACACCGGUGGUGUAGACGGCUUUCUGGACCGUAACUGACGCUGAGACACGAAAGCGUGGGUAGCAAACAGG